rnacentral:tRNA from 1 species
GCGUGGCUGGCUCAGUCGGUAGAGCAUGGGAUCCUUGAUCUCAGGUUUGUGGGUUUGAGCCCCACGUCGGGUG